UACGGAAGGGGCAAGCGUUGUUCGGAAUCAUUGGGCGUAAAGGGCGCGUAGGCGGUUCUGUAUGUCUACCGUGAAAGCAUACAGCUCAACUGUAUUUUGUCGGUAGAAACUGCAGGACUUGAGGCUGGGAGGGGCUGGUGGAAUUCCCUGUGUAGCGGUGAAAUGCGUAGAGAUGGGGGAGAACACUCGUGGCGAAGGCGGCCAGCUAGACCAGUUCUGACACUGAGGCGCGAAAGCGUGGGGAGCAAACAGG
rnacentral:rRNA from 1 species